rnacentral:lncRNA from 1 species
GAUAGGGUACAACUACUAUUCUUUUAAGAGGACGGGGGCUUUCAUCUUUUCGAGUCGCUUUAAAUGAUAGAAAUUUCGAAUUGAUAAUCAAACCGUUAAAAUUGAUUUAAAAUAUUUACAAUAUUUAGAAAUUAAAUUUUAUAAAUUUUAAAAUCCGUUAUCAAAUUUAUUAAAGAGCUAAGAAAUGAACAAUCAAAAUCGAAUAAUCUUAUAAAAUAGAUGUUAGAUCUUUUCAAUUCAUGAUCAGAAUUAAUUAUCAAACGUUAUCUAAAUAGCAUAAAGAAUUUUCUAUAAAAAAUAUAAACUAUAUAUAUAAAGAGAGAUAUUUCUAUAUUUUUAGAUAAAAUUAUAAAUUUACAUUGGAAUUG